CUUGCCAAGACAAACAAAUCUGAUAGACCAUCUCAUUGCUUUAGGCUGCCUGAGGACCCACUGGAAAGUCUAUGGACCUUUUUCCACAGAAAAUUUGUGUAUUGUCAAUACAUAAGUGUAUUGUCCACAGUUACACUGUGGCAGCUGCAGAGGAAGUGGAAGGUUCUCAGGAAUACAUUAGGGAGAACUGGAUUUUUGGCUUCUGAAACAGUGUGGAGUGCUUUUGGAAACUGUGGAAGUUUACAAGCUGGAUGUUACUGCUACAAAAGGUUAUCUGAAAAAGGAAAGCACACUGGAAAACAAGAAAUUGAGCAACAUUGCACAAGUAAUUAGUAACUGCUUCUGCAAUUCUGUGGAUGAAAACUUCAUGCAGAUACAUCCAGAGCCAUUAAUGAGGAUGCAUUAUGCAACUAAUUGCAAUGGGGAACAAAAUUACAUUAAUGGUGCCUAAGGAGAAAGAGAAUCUCUGCACUCAGUGUGCAGUGCUGCUGUUUGCAGAGGAAGGGCACCAGCUGCAACAAGAGUAGUGUCUGUUCUAGAGUGAGGGAUGAGCUCCACUGGGCAUGAGUUGGCUUCCCUGGCUGCAGGGCUCAGUAUUUCAUUUCAGCAAGUCUGACAUUGCUCCAAGUCUUCGUCUCCUCCUGCACUUUAUGCUACUGCCAGGACAGGCUGUAUGUUAUUGAAGAGAGAGAAGUAGAAAAUGAAAUUCAGUGUUUUAUUUUAUGCUCCCCAAGUUUACUCAGACACACCCAGAGAGAAUGUGUGCUGCACUCAACUUGGAGAUCUUGUGUUAGAAAUCCUGGCUCCCCCGUGCUUUCCUGCUUUGCCUGUAGCUGAUAAGAGAGUUCAUAACAGGAACCCCCUGUUACCUCAGCUGCAAAAGGUUCUGAGAAACUAACAGCCAAGAGAAUGGAAUUUGAAUUUAUUUUUGUUUGUCUUGUGUUUCAGCAAGCAUUUAAAAGAUCCCCCAGUUUGUCUUUGUCAGAGAUUGUUUUCCUUUUGGCUUAGGAUGGACACCAGUCUCACUGUUGAGUUUACAUUUAUGGAGUGGGACCCAAGGUUUUCCAGUGUUAAGAUUUUGACUUUGCAAUACUUGUUGCUUGGGAUAGGUGUAAAGGUCAUGUCUGCAUGUACAGCAAGAACAGAACUGGAGUGUGGAUGCUGCUACUUAGUCAGUUGAGAAGGAACAAAAGUAAUCCUGAAGGCUGCCUCUCCUCUUGGCUGGCAGGCGGAAGAGUUGGUAAAAGCUGCAAAGACAACUGAGUAUAAUGAUGGUAUUUAUUCCACAUUUUAUUUCCUAGGUGGAUUUUGAGGACUAGUUUCUAAAAUGUAGUUAUUUUACUCUCCUUUAGCAAACCAUGUGUGGCCACAGCUAUUUUUCCAAAAUGCCUGGUUUUCUUGCUUUUGUUGCCACCAGUCGAGUUCUCACUCCACAUAGCAAUGUCCACAAGGUGGUGCCACAGCUAAGAAAUUUGCAACAAAUAAGGCAAAAGUAAUUUGAUAAUUCUGUCUGCUUUUUGUAACUGACUAAAGUAGCUGCAUCAUUAAGUAAUUAAUUAUUUCAUAAGCCAAAUAUCACAGGUUUGCAAGCUCUUUUUUAAACCACUUGUGUGAGCAAAGGUGGGCCUGUCUGCUGAGCAAGAGCAGCAUCCACAAGCCUGUGACAAUCCCAAAUCCUGUACAAAAAUGAAGAGGCAACUCAGGGUUUAGCAGACAGGCUGAUGAAGAGCUGUGUAUUUCCUAGCAGGAUUACCUGUGUCAACACUGGCAUGUGUCUUAUGUUUUUAUCUGAUCAUUUCAGCAGGAAUCAACCUGAAUCCUGACAAGCAGAAAAGUUCAUCCACAGCUUCAGCCAAGACAGCUUCUAAAAACCCUAGAGUGGCUAUGGCACAUCAGACCCAAAUCUCCUGAGUUUUUCCUAGAGGCAGGGAUAACCAGGCUCCCUGUCCUAUGCUAAUCUACAGCUGACUGUUAAUUCCAAAGGGUGUGAAGUGCUUACAGAGGGACCUGCACUGAUGCUCAAGUUUCCGAGCAUCUUUCUAGAAAAAAUCAGACUAGAGAAGGUACAAGGCAGUAACAGGGAAUGGAAGAAGUCACGUGUCCAGUACACAAAAGACAAUAAAACUUCCAUAAAAAGUUGUUUGUAGGGAUCUGGAUGACUUCUGUAUGUCCCAGAAGAGCUGAAGUGCAGCAGGUCUUGGCCGUGCCCCUGAGAAGGUGUGUGUCAGUUCUUCAGCUACCCUUGGCCAUGUAGUGCUUCUUGCACCCCUGCCCUGCUCCCCUCAGUGGCCUCUGCAAUCCAGGUAUUUGUGCUAGUACAAAAAAUAAAAUACUCCCUGUCAGCUUCUGCAGUGGACAAAUGAAGUUUGAAUCAUUUGUUCAUUAUGUAUUUUUGUACCAAAAGCAGCAAGAAAAAGGGAUACCUUAAAAUACCAUUCAGACAAGCAGUGCAUUGACUUGCCUCCAGCUAGAAUCUCUCUUUGGUAGGCCUGUAGCAGAAAGAGAAAAAUAACAGGGUUUGCAUAAUGUUUCCUCUAAAUUGCUACAUUAUUAUUUUAAAACAUACUAAAAUUCUUCUGGCUAGUAAGAGACUCAGUGGAAAUUAUGUAUACCUAGGAAAGAUGGUUUGUCCCCUAGUUACAAAGUGGAAUGAGAGUUAGAAGCUUAUUGAGUCCAAUUCUAAAAGUUGUCAAAUAACACAAUGGCCACCUAUUUUGUUUUUAAGGAUCAUAUCUAUAAAUUACGUGUAAAAGUGAUUUACAUAGUUUAAAUGGUUCACAAGUAUUUUGAAACUUUGUAUUGGUUUCAAUAUCUGUUUGAAAAAGUCAGUAUCUAACCUGAGAACUAACUAGAAAUAUAAAGUCAUGAACAGGUCAAGUAGAAUUAAUUUCUGAGUCAGUCUGUUGAGUUAGCUUGAACUAACUGAAUCAUUACACUGACAUUGUCAGAGUAUUCCUGUAAGAUUGUUCUGAGUGUAUGGCUGCAA